rnacentral:miRNA from 2 species
CUCGUUGUCUGUUCGACCUUG